CUUGGCGGGGCGGCCGCUUCGGAGCCGCAAAGUUUGGCUGUGGCGGCAAAUGGGCUUGGGCGGCUCCUCGGCGGGUGGCGGUGGUGGCCUUAGCGGUUCCUCCUGGCUCUGUUAAUGUCGGGGCCAGGCCCGGGGAGGAUGGCGCCCUAGAGCCCGGCCUUGCUGGGUAGGGGCGGGAGGGGACGGGGUGGGGACCGGCCAUGUCGGAGGUGACCCGGAGUCUGCUGCAGCGCUGGGGCGCCAGUUUUAGGAGAGGCGCCGACUUCGACUCUUGGGGCCAGCUGGUGGAGGCGAUAGACGAGUAUCAGAUGUGAGUGACUAACCGCGGGAGCGGGCCAGACCGGCUGCAGUGGGCCGCCUCCCCCUUGUUUCUGUUGGUGUCUCUCAUCACAGUGUCUGCAGUCAAGGCUUCCCAGGGCGGGGCCCCCUGCACGGGGGACUGAGAUCCCACUGGCCCCGCGAGGCUGCUCUGGAGGAGAAGGGUCCGCUCCCUGGGGUGUCUCGCCCUUCUUUCCCCUCCACCUCCACGAGACCAGUUCCAUUCAACAGGUAGUAGUCCUUAGCUGGGGCGCCGGCUCUCACAGGCUACCUACUUAGCUCCUUUGAGUGUCUCCCGGGGCCCCCAGCUCGGCGGUCAAUUUCCUUUCCUCCGCCUCUCCCAGGUUGCCACCCCCCAAUCUCUCUUUGAAUCUCGAAGGAAUACUUGUGCGUUCUCCGCCCACGUUCCAGGCAUGAGUGGCCUUGCUCUCUGUGUGUGUCUUCCUCCCUCCCAUGUGUAGGAGAGGAGGGAACUGGUUUUGAUAGAGAGGAGUUGGAUACCCCCAGGAAGCAGCGAGGGCCAGGGAUCCUGCCUCUCCUUCUGCCAAAAGAAGGGUCUGCUAUUGCGCUCCUUCUCCACCCCACUUUCUGGUGAGCCGUGUUUUCACAAUUCCACCUCGAUUUCGUUUCGGUUUCUGGGACUGUUAUUUGCUGGACUGUGAGUCCCACCCACCCCCUCGCUCGGUUUCUUUGGGUGGAGUCCGCGCAGGAUGUGAACAGAAGAGAGCAAAAUGUGAAUUAAUAGACCACGCACAGGAGCUGCCCCUCCCUCCUAGGAUCCCUCCUCCUUUUCCUGUGUAUAAUGUAUAGCCUCAGGGUACAUGUGGGUACCAGUUUCCUUUAUCAACCUAAGACUGAUUUUUUUUUUUUUUGCCCUUUCUGCUUUCGCCCAAAAACU
rnacentral:lncRNA from 1 species